CCAAUAGCGUAUAUUAAAGUUGUUGCAGUUAAAAAGCUCGUAGUUGAACUUCGGGGUCUACCCAUUGGUCAGGCUUAAUUGUCUGCACUGGUGAGAUGGAUCUCUACCUUCUGAGGAACUUUCAUGCCAUUUAUUUGGUGUGAUGGGAAAUCAGGACUGUUACUUUGAAAAAAUUAGAGUGUUUAAAGCAGACUAACGUCUGAAUACAUUAGCAUGGAAUAAUGAAAUAGGACGGACUGAUUCUAUUUCGUUGGUUUCUAGGAUCACCGUAAUGAUUAAUAGGGAUAGUUGGGGGCAUUAGUAUUCAAUUGUCAGAGGUGAAAUUCUUGGAUUUAUUGAAGACUAACUACUGCGAAAGCAUUUGCCAAGGAUGUUUUCAUUAAUCAAGAACGAAAGUUAGGGGAUCGAAGACGAUCAGAUACCGUCGUAGUCUUAACCAUAAACUAUGCCGACUAGGGAUCGGACGAAGUUAAUUUUAUAAUGACGCGUUCGGCACCUUACG
rnacentral:rRNA from 1 species